rnacentral:lncRNA from 1 species
AUCAUCAAAACCAUCAACCUUUUUUCUCUUCUUUUGGAUCCUCUAUUCAUCAAAAUCAUGAUCAUCAACAAAAUGUUUACCAUCACCAAGCUCUAUCUAAUCCCACUUUUUCAUCAUCUUCUUUAGCUUCACCAUCUCUUUCCUACCUCCCUUUCUUGAUAAACUCUCACAAAGAUAAAGUAAAUGUUGGGUAUAACAACCAUACUUUUCAUGGCUUUCUUGAUCCUCAUAUCUCCCAGCCCCUUGAGGUAUAAUUUUUUUAAAGUGAAACUCGUAUGUACCAAUAUUUUUAUGAUACUUGAGAAGUUGUAUAGUAUUCACAUAAAAAUUUAAUUAACUAAAGUAUUUUAUCAUGGUAUAUGGAAAUUUCAGACCAAAAAGUUUGUAUAUGAUGGUGGAUCAUCAUCAAGCGAUCAAAUGACGCCAGAGAAGGAGACACGACUUAAAUUGACGAUAAGGAAGAAUGAUAAUCAUCAUGACCAAACCGAUCUUCCUCAAUAUCCGACAAAAGGCGAGACAGAAAGUAAUUCGCUCAAGUGGAUGUCUUCGAAGGUGAGAUUUAUGAAGAGAAAGACGAUGAUCACCCCCACCGACAACAACAAACAAUACGUUAAGAACGACCAGUCCUUGAACGUUAGCAAUCUCGAAGAAGAUCAUCUCAAUAAGAUUUCGAAAAAUCAUUACAAUAUGAUUGCGAACGAGAAUGGUUAUAACGGAAGCAACAACUGCGUAACUAGGAUUUGCUCCGAUUGUAACACGACCAAAACUCCUCUUUGGAGAAGUGGCCCGAGAGGUCCCAAGGUAAUCACCACACACAUAAAAAUUACUCAAAGAAUUGAUUUCUUUUUAUAGAACUAAUUAAUAAUAUAAGAAUCGUAAAUCUAUAAAACCACUAUCAAAAACUAAUCCGUAAAACCAAUUUUACUUAAUUAGUAAUCCUAACUAGGUCACGAGAUAAUUUAGCUAACUCUUAUUUUGGUUUGUCUUAUUACAGUCUCUUUGUAACGCAUGUGGGAUAAGGCAAAGGAAAGCGAGACGGGCUGCUAUGGCCGCUUCAGGCGCAACCACAACCUCUGACGUGUCACCGCCGCUCCUGAAGAAGAAGAUUCAAAACAAGAACAAGAGAUCAAAUAAAGUUGGUAGUCUCUCUUCUCCUUUGGCUUCAAAGGUACAUAAAUAUAAGAGUAUGACCACAUCUGUGGCGGAGGCGGUAUAAAAAAAAAAAAAAAAAAAAAAAAAAAAAGGUUUUUUUUUUUUUUUUUUUUUCUCUCUCUCACGUUUUUUCUCUUCUUCUUCUCUUCUUCUUCUCUCUGUUUUUCUUGUUUUUUUGGGAUGAUCUUCUUCUUCUCCUUGUGUGGUUAUUUAUAGGAGAUUAUGGGGAGUUGGUGAAACUUCUUGUUGCACCUACCAAAAGAACACAAAAGAUAUGUGUUGUUGAAUUAAUCAACAAACACCUUCUUGAUACAACUUAUUGUUGUACCUACCAUUCAAAAACGUGUUUCUUUACACUAUCAAAGGUGCAAAACAUCAACAAGCUACUUCUAAAAAUAUGUCUAUAUUAUAUUUCACAGUAACAUAAACUAAUUGCUACAUUGUUUUACUUUAUAACAUUAUAGUUUUUAAAAUUAUAUUACUAAGCAAUUUAUGAUAUAGCUAACUCCUUUUUUUUUGAUAAAACAAAAAGUUGGUUAUUCUUUCAAAAAGAAAAAAAGCUGUUCCUUCUUCAGGUUAGUGAGUUUCAAAACAUAUGAGCCAACACUGCUGAAAAUGAUAUAAAUGUCCGGAUUUGUUUUAUUUGUUAGAUAACUUAUUUCCUGUUUAGGCAUACUAAUCAGAUUAUCUUGAAUAAAAACUGGGUCACAAUUAAAAAUAACAGUUUAUCCAUUUAUUAUAUCUUCUCAAUUCUUCAAAUUAGUUCUACUAGCUAAUGUAAGUUGAUGAAUAUAUAUAUUCUAAUUUGUUUUUGGUUUGUACGUGGUCCCUUCUCUUGCCUAUUUAAAAAGUGUCAAACACAGUAGUAUGCUUAGCUCCUUCUAUACUUAUCCCUGAUCUCUCCCAAUCUCUCUUCUUACAUCUCUUUUGUGUUUCAUAGAUCUCUAUCAAUCAAUCAUGGGUUCAAAUUUUCGUUACACUAUAGAUCUCAAUGAAGAUCAUCAAAACCAUCAACCUUUUUUCUCUUCUUUUGGACCCUCUAUUCAUCAAAGUCGUUAUCAUCAACAACAUCUUUAUCAUCACCAAGCUCCAUCUAAUCCCACUUCUUCAUCAUCUUCUUUAGCUUCACCAUCUCUUUCCUACCUCCCUUUCUUGAUCAACUCUCACCAAGAUCAAGUACAUGUUGGGUAUAACAACCAUACUUUUCAUGGCUUUCUUGAUCCUCAUAUCUCCCAGCCCCUUGAG